GGCUCGGGUUCGGUGCGCCCAAAUGUGUUGGCUUAUGAAGACUGGGUCGAUGAACCGCUGCUUAAAGUGUGCUUCUCUGAGCGCUCGACAGCUCAAAGCCAGAGAAACCCCAUAGAGCAGCGAAACAGUUCACCGACAGACGCAACCAAACCCGUUGGCUCCCGAUGAGGGUGGAGAGGGCAGAGCUGGCGAAACUGAUUGGUUUUCGAUUUUAACGAAGAGCCGCCUUAUUUCACUCAGAACCGAGUCAGCUUUUUCCCAGGAGAGGAAAGCAAGUUUGUGUGCGAGAACGCUGUCACCAGUGGUGGGGGACUGACUGGGUGGACACUGGUGCACGGAGGGGGUGGUGUUUGUUUGGUAGGUGGGGUAACAAUCUGCGCGAACCUGGCCCUUUAAAUUACCUCCACAAUCACUGUAGACGAGACAAGCAAAGUUGCCUCCAGGGCCCUGAGCCAGCUUUAGUCCCCAGCCUCUCCAUCAUCCAGGCAUAAAAAAAAAUGACACAGAUGUGCUGUGUCGAG
ensembl:lncRNA